GCACCUGCGGACAAACAGUUGUGGUCACCGCCAGGGACUGCGUGGUCCCACGGCCUGUGUCACGGGCUCAGAGUAGCGUUGGAGCAGCCCGGCCCUGAGCCACGCGGUAGGAUAUCCCGUCAGUAGGUGUUGGUGCCUGCCGGGGCUGGGGAAGCCACGGGGGCCCUGCCUUCAGGAACAUGCUUUCCUGGAGACACUGGCCACGGACAGCCACGGAGCGAGGCUGGCUUCCAGACAUCCCACGGGGUCCUGCUUUCCUCCCUUCCCAGGCUGUCGACAGGAAGGAAGCCUCUCUGGGCCUCAGUAGCACUGGGCUGGUUCCGUGAGCCCCACCUGGACGCUCAGAGUGGGGUGCAGGUCAGGAUGCACCGUGGCGGGGGAAAUCCGCUACAGUGGCCACGGUCCCGCAUCCCACCAACAGCACCAGGAAAGGCAAGAAGGAAUCCACAGACAGUCAAGGGAAGAAAAGGCUGUCCCCUUCCUGGCAAUGUCAUAUGGGAAAAGGCACGGAUUUCCGCGGAAAUAACAUUUACGCCCUGGGUGGCCUUGCGGGGAACUUGGCAUUCCUCCUGCUAGUCCCCCGGGCUGACAGAUCGGGAAACUGAGGUUGGGGAGACCACACAGAGGCCUGUGUGCACGCUGGACACAGCCAGGUGGGGCCCCACGCUGCAGCCCCAGGCCACCUCCAUGCGCAAGCACCCUGGAGGGACCUGGGUGCUUGGGGUGGGGCCAUGCGCAGAGACCCUGAGUUCUCAAGAGGCCCAGAGUCUGGGCAGGGGAAUUCAGCCAUGCCUGAGGCUCCCAGGGGACGGGCAAGUCCUCCCUCGGUGACCCCCGGGUCUCCCAGCCGCUGUGCCCAGGCUUGUGAUCCCACUGCCGUCUCAGCGGAUGUGCUGGCUGCAGGGAACUGAGGAAACAGACCAUUGUCUCCCCAGAAUAUCCCUUCAGGCACUUGAGCUGUAUUUUUAGACAGUAACUAGGGGCUCCUUGUCGUAAUGUUUGGAAAACAGCAAACUCUGGAGAGGACAGCAACGUGUUCCCCCAACGUGUCGCGGGACACACCAGCCAGCCACGGGGCAGAGAGGCCCCAGAGGAGCACCGAGCAGCCCUCCUCCCUGUUUGCCUCUCCGUGUCUGUGCCCCAGAAGCUAAAUCAUGCCCCUUUCCCCUGUCCUGUCUUCCCGAGGAUGCUCAGCUCUAUGGUCAUGGGACAUUCUGUGCCAAAGCACCCACUGUGUGCACACUUCCCAGCAUGGGGACGCACCGUGACAGGGUCCACUGACCGCCCCCAUGUCUGCUGCCAGUGUGCAAGCAUGGCUGGUUAGGUCCUGCAUGGGACUGCCUGACGGAUCCUGCCCUUUCAACAGCAUCUGCCCCGCAGCACACCAUAGACGUCCUCAUAGCCCACCACAUAGUUGUUCCCUGGCACUGAGGGACCCCCAGGACCGAGGAACUCCGGCACCAAGCGACCUGGGCACCGAGGGACCCUGGCACUAUGGCCCCCAGCACCAAGGGACCUGGGCACCGAGGGACCCUGGCACUAUGGCCCCCAGCACCAAGGGACCUGGGCACCGAGGGACCCUGGCACUAUGGCCCCCAGCACCAAGGGACCUGGGCACCACAGGGUUUCCCUGGUUGUAGUGAACCCGCUCUCCUGCCCACAGGGAGAAGGCCUCUCACCUCCGCCUGGGGAGGUUUCUCCGCAUUCCAGACCCAGACCCACAGGCGGGAAGGGUUAAUGUUGUCCUUGGGACUGAAGUUCCCAGAGCCAGCAAUUACAAAGGUCAGAGCCUGGGGGUGGGGGUGGGGGGGUGGGGGGACCAUGGAGCAGGAGAGCCUGGAACCAGAAAACACAGACCCCUGAGCCCCGCCCCAGGGGGAAGUGAGGUAUGAGCUGCUCUCCGGGUGGGCGCCCCGCUCUGCUGCUCUGCUGUCCCCACCCGGGCGCCCCCAUCACGCCGGCAACCUUCCCCGGCUUGCUGCCUAAGGCUCUGCUGGUGUCAGCCCCAAAGCCAGCUGCCUGUACCCCAAGAGGACAGACUGGGUCACCCUGAUCUUCUCCAGCACCUCCCCCCACCACAAGGACACUCCAGGUCACCCUGACCUUCCUCUGCACCCCUCCCCCACAAGGAGACCCCUAGGAGACAAAGGCUGGACAGGGAGGAUGGAGCCAACCCUAAAUCGAGAGGACAGGCUGCUCCAGGGACAGGACACCCUCUCCCUCCCCUUCCCUGCACAGUCCACCUUUAGGCCUUUCCCUGCACACGCCCCUCCCUGCCCUUCCCUGCACACGCCCCUCCCUGCCCUUCCCUGCACACACCCCCUCCCUGCCUGUCCCCUGGCAUUCCCUACAGAAACUGGUCAUUGCCAUUCUGUGUCAUCCUUUUCACAGGCGAGCAAAUCUCCAAACAGACCUCGGGACACCCGCACAGCUCAGGGGUGUUUCCCAGGACUGAGGGCUCUUUAAGGUCACAUGGAGGCAGAAGAUGCCGGGAUCAGGGCACCUCGCUGCUGGGAGGACGUGGGUCACCCCGCUGCUGACCAGUACCUGGGUGGUAGACCACCGGAGCACCACGGGGCGGGUGACGCAGGGCAGGACCUUGCCCAGGAGCUGCAGCAGCUGGGACUGGGUCUGGAAGACGGGCGAUGUCUUGUUCAGGCAGUAGGUCAUGGUGUCGUGGCUUCCUGCAAGCAGACACCAGGGGACAUUGCACGCGCGGCCUCCUGGGCUGUGUGCUCCGAGGGCACGUGGGGAACACACAGCGUCAGGCAUGACCGGUCAUUGCCCAAGAUGCACGCCCACCGGAAGGCUGCAGAGUGCGUGGAUGGUCAUCCAGAGCCAAGGGGCCUCAAUCCAGGGGCGGGGGUCCUUAUACGAGACAGAGAAGCGGAAACGGACGCAGAGGACGAGCACCGGGACCCCAGGCACCUCCCUGGUGGGGGACCCCAGUCAUCACCGUGGGGACAGCCCUGUGCAAAGCGGGCCGUCUCCCCACAGAGCCCGGGAUGUGCUCCUGGUUCCCGGAGGUGUCCACACCAAAAAAAGUUUAAGGUUUCCCAGAAACCUCUGUAAAGCAGAGUAAAAAAGGGGGACUUUUUCUACGAGGUGCUAAUGGAUGUGUGUUAUAUAGGAACGAGGUCUGGAAAGAAAUAAACCCAGCACAACGCGCUGUUGGGGACCCACUCGACAACGGAUCGCAGUCCCGUGUUCAGAGAGGGACGCGAUCAGACCAGCUCCAGUUUCUGUAAGGAGGCUUCCCGAUAAGGGGACGAGUGGGUCUAGCCGGCACGUGGCUAACAGCGCAAAUCAGGCCAGAUUCCCGUGUCCUAUGUCCCAUCCACGGUAUCCCUGGAUGUUGGCCGAUUUUCGUGCACGAUGAAAGCACAGAGUUCUGUUGGGACACAUGGACACGAUCCCCAGUGAAAAAGUUACGAGGAACACAGGACCAGAAACGGUGGGAUGUCCCCAAGCUGGGCUAACUAACAUCCCAAACACAUCCCCAAGAUGCAUUUGUCCCAAUGCCCACACGGUGGGCACAACGUGAUCCUCCAAGAGGUUCCCCUCAAAGCCCCUGGAGGGGGGACGUGUCAUCCCACACGGCAGAAGGCAAUUUGCAGACCAGUUUCGAGGGUCGAGCGGCAGAUCUUCUUGGAUAACCCAGUGGCCCGAUCUUGCCUUGAGGGACCUCAUAACAGGGAGAUGUGGUCAGAGUCAGAGGACAGUAGCAGAAGGGACAUUGCGGGCUUCGAGGUAGAGGAAAGGGCCCCGUGAAGCCAGACACAGCAGAGAAACAGAGUCUCCCUAGAGCCUCCAGAAGGAGCUGGCCCCACAGGCACUCAGAGGUCAGAACAUGCCCAGUUCUGGGCCCCAGAGCUGUGAGGUCACAGUCGUGUGUGAUAAGGAACCACCCAGGUUGUGGUCCUUCGUUAAAGGAGCCCAGGAGACACUCCCACAGCCACCCAGACUGGUGGUGCCUUUGGGUCUAGCAGCUCCUCCCCAGCAGCACUGGGCCGUCCCCUGCCCCUCACAGCUGUGGCCCCCCCCCACAUCUGCCCUCUAAGGGAGCUAUUCGGCCCACAACUUCCGUGGAGGCCACAUGUUCUGAGGGGCGCCCAGGGGAUGGAACCCUAGGACGGGCACACCUCUGGGCCCUUGGUCCCUUCUCACCUCCCGGAAUGACUCCCUGCUGAUCCCCAGGACACCUACCCCCAAACCCCAUCUCGACUGCAUGCAGAGCACUUGGGAUCCACAGAAAACAUGUCCCCACCAGGAAAACGGACCCCCGGCAGGGGGGAGGGGAGACACCAGUGACUCGGGUCACCAGGAAGUACACACAGGGCCACAGCUGUCCUCCAGCAUGUUGGGGAGGCCGGGUUAGGGUUAGCUUCUCGGUGUCUACGUCUCCUCCUCAGGGUCUUACAAGGACCCCUGUCGCUGCAUUCUGGACUGGCCCGAUCCAGGAUGAGCUCCUCUCACAUCCUUCCCUUCAUCACACCUGCAAAGACCCCAUUUGCACAAAAGGCCCCAUUCCAAGACUCGUGGCAGGGGGACAUGAAUUUCCGGGGCACCGGCCAGUGCCUACAACUGGGUUUGUGCAGGGACACAGCCUGACCCCCAGGGGCUCUCUCAUCUGUGAAGUCAUUCAAGCCAGGGACCCUGGCCUCGGUGGGAGUCCCGCUGACGGGACCACAGGACCACAGGGAAAUACGCAGACUGUCUUCUGCCCCAUUCCAUGAACCAGAUAAACUGGGCAUGCACGUUCCUUAAAAAGUCAUAAAAGUCCGGGGGGCACCUGGGUGGUCAGUCGGUUAAGCAUCAACCUUCCUUUUGGGCUCAGAUCAUGAUCUCGGGAUCCUGAGAUCGAGCCCCUGAGAUCGAGCCUCAGAGCUCUGAGCUCUGCUUGGGAUUCUCUCCCUCUGCCUCUCCCAACCCCCCACUGGCACUUUCCCUCAAAUUAGUACAUCUUUUAAAGAAAGAAGAAGUCCUACAAUUCCCGAAGAAAACCACAGGUACAUAGGAAACUAUAGAAAAACAUCAAAAACUGCGAAAAUCCACCCCGCUGAGAAAUCUGCCGCUUUUGAGGGAGGAAUUCCUGCUACCGCGUGGCCGUGGCCGUGGAGACACAUGGUGGGAUCCACCACGCUUCUUUUCUGCAAACACAGAAGACUGGCAACGCCCGCGCUCAUCAGUGCAGAGCUGUGGCCACGGCUCCCACUGCCCCCAGUGCCCCAAGGGCCCCGGCGGAACCCAGCAGGCCUGACUCAGGGCCACCAGGUCAUUGGAUCACACGGUCCCCGACGUGCUCAGAGUGAUCUCUUUGUGGGUCGGACCCACUUGGGACCCUCCAGGCUCGAAAUGCAGGAGACACUCAGCACGCGGCGGAUGGGGAGUGGCGAAUGCAUCUGUGAGAAACCAGCAGGUUCGCUCCGCGGAGGGACAGACCGGCAGGGACGCUUUGCCCCAAAUCCCUAUGCUGUCACGAAGCCACACUUCCCUGGGGUCUGCAUGUGCCUGCUGGGCUGCGUUAGAGAAGGAGAAGGGAGAACACUCACGCAGUGCAUGUCUGUGUACGUGUGUGCCUUAUUGUAUGUGCAUGCAUAUGUUUGUGCCUGUAUUGUGUACAUGUGUGUGCAAGUUCACGCACACAUCUGUACCUGUAACGUGUGCGUGUGUGCACGCCUGCCUGUCUUGUGUGCAUGCAUGUGCAAGUUCACGCACACAUCUGUACCUGUAACGUGUGCGUGUGUGCACGCCUCCCUGUAUUGUCUGCAUGCUGGUGCAAGUUUGUGCACACAUCUGUACCUAUAACGUGUGCGUGUGUGCAUGCCUGCCUGUAUUGUGUGCAUGCUUGUGCAAGUUCACGCACACAUCUGUACCUGUAGCGUGUGUGUGUGUAUGUACUGCAUGCAUGCACUGCAUGUGUACACGUGUCUGCCAAUACUGCAUAUAUCCAUGUACGUGCUCCAUGCGGUCUCCCCACACCCGAGCCCCAUCCCAUGGCGGCAGCUUCCCUGCUGGGGACGCGGAGGCCCUCACCUGGGAUGGAGAGCUGGUGGAGGGGCACGUCCCAGAGCACCGGGCACAGUGCCGACAUCCAGUCCGCAUUUGUGGUGCACGGCAGGCUCUGGAAGCUGCCGGAAGUGCUCACCUGUCCGCCCAUCGGAGGCCACCCUGUGCGACCUGAGGAAGGAAACGAAGUUUUGCAGAGGUCAACCGAGGGGACCCAGCUCCGGGCAGUGGGAAGGGGCUCACACAGCAGCCUGCAGAGCCCACGCGGUUUCCAUCCUGCGGUUGCUGGUGUCUGAGGGCCCAGGUGAGCACUGCCUCCCCACCCCGCUCCCUCUGCUGGGGUACUAGGCUCUGGUGCAAGGAAGCCAGCGCACUCCCUUGCAGGCACCAGGGAGACGCCCUGGGCUAGGGGAUGCUAGGGGGUCUCAGGGUCCUUAACCUACAGCCCCAGCCACUGCCUUCCAGCAUCUGCCAGCUGUGUGCCCAGCACACACAGGUAUGAUCUCCGCUCACCAUCAGCAGGUGGGUGGGCGUGGGUCAGCAACGGCACAGGAAAGGGAGCCCUAAGGACGUGUCCACAGUGCUCCGUGGGCCAGUGGGCAAGACCUCGCCCCUGGUCCACAUGUUCCCGUCCACCAUAGCCCGGCCUCCUGACCUGCCACCUCCACACAGAGGGGACACCCUCGGGGACAGAGCCUUGGCCCCAAGCCCUGAGUUGACAUGUACUGGUUUCCGUGCAGGAGCCUGUCCUGGGCUGAGCUGUGUCCUCACCACCAGAUUCCCACGUGGCAGCCUCGUGUCCUCUCCCUGGGUCAUGGGCUGGGCUCUGAGCAGGAGCACAUGAGGCAUGAGACCCGGGCCCACAGGGACCACGCAGCGUGCCGGCCACCACGCAGGCAUUUCUGACCCACUGUCUAGGAGGGACAAGUUCCCUCUGGUCUGGAUGUGGCCCUUCCUCUGGCCAAGUGUCCCCCUGUUGGAGCUCUGCCGGUACAGCAGGGGUGGGGGGUGAGAACUGGCAUCGCUAAAAUAACCCGCUUUGCCAUAGGAUGACUUUGAGCUGGAGGAGAUUGAGAAAAAGCCGAGACAAGAAAAACUCCCUGCCUUUCUCCUCUCUGCCUGGAAGCGGCAUAAAUUCCUUUCCUGAAGCCAUCCCUGCUCUGUCCCCUGCACCAGGAAAGGGAGGAAUGUUCUCUCCAGGAAAGUCUACAUGACAAGCCUCACUAAGGAACACUUACCUCCCCGUCGUGUCCCCCAAGCAUUUACCUUCUCAUAAUUGACUGUCGCUACGAUGCCAACCCCCUUUUCCUCUGGCUUGUCACCUCCCCACAAAUGUGUCACCCAUUGUUGAAAUGGCAGGUAAGCCCACAAGUCUAUCUCCGUGAAUCUACUUCUUUUCCGUGAAGGCCUCUGUACACAUAGAGAAUCAACCUCUUCUCCUGCCCAUCUGUCUUUUGUUGUUUUAUUUAUUUUAUUUUGUAUUUUAUUUUAUUUUAUUUUUUGGACAAGCUCUAUGCCCAACAUGGGGCUCGAACUCUCAACCCUAAAUUCUAGAGUAGCAUGCUCCACCCACUGAGCCAGCUAGGCACCCCCGUCUUUCACCAUUUUAGUUUGCAUGUCUCAGUCACAGAACCAAGAGUGUAGAAAAGAU